rnacentral:rRNA from 1 species
GAUGAACGCUGGCGGCGUGCCUAAUACAUGCAAGUCGAGCGAACAGACGAGGAGCUUGCUCCUCUGCCGUUAGCGUCGGACGGGUGAGUAACACGUGGAUAACCUACCUAUAAGACUGGGAUCACUUCGGGACACCGGAGCCAAUAACGGCUCAUAUACUGAACCGCAUGGUUCAAUCGUGUAUGCCGGUUUUCCUUUCCCUUAUAGAUGAAACCGCGCCGCAGUGGCUAGUUGGUAAGGUAACGCCUUACCAAGGCGACGCUGCGUAGCCGACCUGAGAGGGUGAUCGGCCACACUGGAACUGAGACACGGUCCAGACUCCUGCGGGAGGCAGCAGUAGGGAAUCUUCCGCAAUGGGCGAAAGCCUGACGGAGCGACGCCGCGUGAGUGAUGAAGGACUUCGGAUCGUAAAACUCUGUUAUUGGGGAAGAACAGAUUUGUAAUUAACUAUGCACGUCUUGACGGUACCUAAUCAGAAAGCCACGGCUAACUACGUG